AGUGAACGCUGGCGGUAGGCCUAACACAUGCAAGUCGAACGGCAGCACAGUAAGAGCUUGCUCUUACGGGUGGCGAGUGGCGGACGGGUGAGGAAUACAUCGGAAUCUACUUUUUCGUGGGGGAUAACGUAGGGAAACUUACGCUAAUACCGCAUACGACCUACGGGUGAAAGCAGGGGAUCUUCGGACCUUGCGCGAUUGAACGAGCCGAUGUCGGAUUAGCUAGUUGGCGGGGUAAAGGCCCACCAAGGCGACGAUCCGUAGCUGGUCUGAGAGGAUGAUCAGCCACACUGGAACUGAGACACGGUCCAGACUCCUACGGGAGGCAGCAGUGGGGAAUAUUGGACAAUGGGCGCAAGCCUGAUCCAGCCAUACCGCGUGGGUGAAGAAGGCCUUCGGGUUGUAAAGCCCUUUGUUGGGAAAGAAAAGCAGCAGGUUAAUACCCCGCUGUUCUGACGGUACCCAAAGAAUAAGCACCGGCUAACUUCGUG
rnacentral:rRNA from 1 species